rnacentral:rRNA from 1 species
GCUACCAUGCAAGUCGAACGGGAACAUUCUGGAGCUUGCUUUAGGGUGUUUCAGUGGCGGACGGGUGAGUAACGCGUGAGUAACCUGCCUUUCAGAGGGGGAUAACGUCUGGAAACGGACGCUAAUACCGCAUAACAUUCUUAUUCCGCAUGGGAAAAGGAUCAAAGGAGUAAUCCGCUGAGAGAUGGACUCGCGUCCGAUUAGCCAGUUGGUGAGGUAAAGGCCCACCAAAGCUGCGAUCGGUAGCCGGACUGAGAGGUUGAACGGCCACAUUGGGACUGAGAUACGGCCCAGACUCCUACGGGAGGCAGCAGUGGGGGAUAUUGCACAAUGGAGGAAACUCUGAUGCAGCAACGCCGCGUGAGGGAAGACGGUUUUCGGAUUGUAAACCUUUGUCCUUGGUGACGAUAAUGACGGUAGCCGAGGAGGAAGCUCCGGCUAACUACGUGCCAGCAGCCGCGGUAAUACGUAGGGAGCAAGCGUUGUCCGGAUUUACUGGGUGUAAAGGGUGCGUAGGCGGCAGUGCAAGUCAGGUGUGAAACCCCUCGGCUCAACUGAGGGCGUGCAUUUGAAACUGUGCUGCUUGAGUGGAGUAAAGGCAGGCGGAAUUCCCGGUGUAGCGGUGAAAUGCGUAGAGAUCGGGAAGAACACCAGUGGCGAAGGCGGCCUGCUGGGCUUUAACUGACGCUGAGGCACGAAAGCAUGGGUAGCAAACAGGAUUAGAUACCCUGGUAGUCC